GACGAACGCUGGCGGCGUGCCUAAUACAUGCCAGUCGAGCGAAGUUUUUCUGGUGCUUGCACCGGAAAAACUUAGCGGCGAACGGGUGAGUAACACGUAAAGAACCUGCCUUAUAGACUGGGACAACUAUUGGAAACGAUAGCUGAUACCGGAUAACAGCAUUAACUGCAUGGUUGAUGUUUGAAAGUUGGUUUUGCUAACACUAUGAGAUGGCUUUGCGGUGCAUUAGCUAGUUGGUGGGGUAAAGGCCUACCAAGGCGACGAUGCAUAGCCGACCUGAGAGGGUGAUCGGCCACACUGGGACUGAGACACGGCCCAGACUCCUACGGGAGGCAGCAGUAGGGAAUCUUCCGCAAUGGGCGAAAGCCUGACGGAGCAACGCCGCGUGAGUGAAGAAGGAUUUCGGUUCGUAAAGCUCUGUUGUUAGGGAAGAAUGAUUGUGUAGUAACUAUACACAGUAGAGACGGUACCUAACCAGAAAGCCACGGCUAACUACGUG
rnacentral:rRNA from 1 species